GCAGUAAGGGGGCGGGUGCUAAGGUCCGUCCCCGAGAGGAGAAGAAUCCAGACCGCCGUCUAAGGUCCCGAAAUUCUGUCUAAGUUAGUCUAACGAAGUCUGGUCCCCGUGACAGCUAGGAUGUUGGCUUGGAAGCAGCCAUUCAUUCAAAGAGUGCGUAACAGCUCACUAGUCGAGGGUCCGGGCAUGGAUAAUAAUCGGGUAUAAGUCAGAUACCGAAGGCGCGGGAUAGUAAUGUAAAUUAAAAGUAUCGGUAGGGGAGCAUUCCAUCGGCGUUGAAUGGUGAGGGUAACCGAUCCUGGAGCUUAUGGAAA
rnacentral:rRNA from 1 species